AAGAGGAAAAUCAAGCUCCUCGAAGAGAGCUCGAGCAUCUCCCAUGGCUGCUGACGACUGACCCCGUCAAAGCGCAGAGAAGAGACAGCGACCGCCCACCCGCAAGGCCCUCCGCCCUCUCCGGCGAGUCACGGGAGAAAGACGGGAAAUUUAAGCGGGGGAGGAGAGCGAAUUCGGGGAAUGGCCGUCGCGACGAGGUCGAGAUGGGUCGCCAUGUCGGUGGCGUGGAUUCUGGUCUUGUUCGGAACCCUAGCUCUCAUCCAGAACCGAUUAAGUGAUACCGGAGCUUCGUCUGAUCCGAAACUUGUUCAUCGCAAAGUUGGUGAGGAAAGAAGAAGCCGGACGAUUUGGAAGAAGUGACUCACAAGGUUUUUUUCGAUGUCGAGAUCGGAGGAAAACCAGCGGGUCGAAUUGUCAUGGGCCUCUUUGGCAAAAA